GCCUGAGUAGCGCAGUCGGUUAGCGCGUCAGUCUCAUAAUCUAAAGGUCGUGAGUUCGAGCCUCACCUGGGGCA
rfam:Ascaris suum AG00695, whole genome shotgun sequence.